rnacentral:rRNA from 1 species
CCUACGGGAGACUGCAGUGGGGGAUAUUGCACAAUGGGGGGAACCCUGAUGCAGCGACGCCGCGUGAGCGAAGAAGUACCUCGGUAUGUAAAGCUCUAUCAGCAGGGAAGAAAAUGACGGUACCUGACUAAGAAGCCCCGGCUAAAUACGUGCCAGCAGCCGCGGUAAUACGUAUGGGGCAAGCGUUAUCCGGAUUUAUUGGGUUUAAAGGGUGCGCAGGCGGAAGAUCAAGUCAGCGGUAAAAUUGAGAGGCUCAACCUCUUCGAGCCGUUGAAACUGGUUUUCUUGAGUGAGUGAGAAGUAUGCGGAAUGCGUGGUGUAGCGGUGAAAUGCAUAGAUAUCACGCAGAACUCCGAUUGCGAAGGCAGCAUACCGGCGCUCAACUGACGCUCAUGCACGAAAGUGUGGGUAUCGAACAGGAUUAGAUACCCGUGUAGUC